rnacentral:lncRNA from 1 species
CAGUAAUACUCCUCAUGCAGUGAAACAAUUCAAUCACAGUUUCAAAACCUUCAUGCUUGGUAUUGCUGAUGAUUGAGAGUUAUAAAAUAAUAAGCCUUGUGGAACAAGAAUAGGUUAAAAAAAUCUUGAGUGAUCGCAAAGUUGAGAGAGCCAGUAUAUAUCAACAACAUGUUUUAAUUGCACAGUGUGUUAGUUCCUCCAUCACUGCCAGAGCUUUCAGAAAAUGGACUCUGAAAUUGUUGUCUAUUUAGACAGGGAAAAAACAGUCUGGAGUGACUCACAGGUGUCUGGAGAGGCCAGAAUACUUGUCUCGAUGCAAGUUUCAUCACAGUAUUUCAAGCCAUUAUUGCAGAAUGAUGUCACCCAGGGAGAAUGUCACUCACCAGAGCUGCCCAGAAGUUUGCCUUUAUUAAGUAAUAGAAGCAGAAGGAAAGUGGGUUUGGCUGUGCCCUCAGUUGGCCUCCUGUCAGGUAAGCACACAGUCACCCUUUCUGAUAGGAACAUGCCCUUCCCAUCACUCUGCAACCUGCUCCCGGGCUUCAGGGAAGCUGUAAAAACACAAAAAAGGUCACGUUUUUCACUUUACUUUCACUGGGUGAUAACAGCAUGA